rnacentral:lncRNA from 1 species
AAUGGAUCUGCCUUCAGUGUUUGGAACAUCAAUGGUCACUUAAUCCCCCUGUUUCAGAAAUGCAGCCUCUGAAAUCCUCCUGGAGCCCCUGAUACAGAGACCCUCUUUUUCACCUGAGCCAGAGACUCAACCUCCAGACUUCUGCUGAGAAUGGGGAUGGCCCCAACCUGACCCUGAGCAGCAUGAAUGUGUGCUAAAAAUAGCAGCUAUACAAUGCGGCAGGCGGCCCGGCGAGACUCUGCGUUUAAAUGGUUUUCUUACCAGCGGUUUCAGAGCACUUUCCUCUCAUGAAUUAACCCUCAGAGGAGCCCUGGAAGGGAGCUGACCAUCUUGGCUCAAAAUCCUCUUCAUGAUUACUCCACAGUGUCUGGAUUCCCUCAUACUAACAGGGCUGCUGGACAUCCCAGAGUUCCUAAGAUGCUUAGACUCAUUAAGUUCAACUCUAACCCUCAAAAAGGAGGAUGAUAGACAGGAAGAAGAACCCUUGAGUCUGACAUACUGCUGCACUUAAAUGACACGGAAUUAGCUUUUGGCUUUUGCAUAUAAGCCCUGGCACUGCAUUGCGCGGUCCUGUUGAACAGAAGAUAAGUGCGACAGUUUCAUCUCCAGAUAAUUCAGUCCUUAUUAUUUCUAAGUAUUUUUUGGGUGUUUAUAUU